CUGUGCCUCCAAUCGGCCAAGUUCUCUCCCACCUCAGGUCCUUUGCACCUGCUGUUCCCUCAGCCAGGAAGCCUCCUCCUCUAGCUCUCCUCACAGUCGGCUAAGGCUCCUCUUCCUUCUUCAGGCCUCAGAUCAUACACUGAUGGCCCUGGCUCCCCAGCAAGAGGAGCCACGCCCACAUCUACCCCCCACCCCCGUGCCCCCCGGGCACAUGACUCAGUUUCUAGUUUUAUUUUGAUUAGUGCUUUACCACAAUAUGAAAGUCGACUCCCUGGACCUCUGCUGGUACAGAGCUGGUGCUCCAUAAAUUAAUGUUUUAACAAAAGUUUACUAUGGUAUAUCAGACAAGAAUAAUUACCAUGAAGGAAAAUAAAGGAAAGGAUGAGAUUAGAGAGUGUUGAGGAGAGGAAGGGAAAUUCUCCAUAGGACAGCCAGAGAAGGUGUCACUGAUAUUUGGAUAAAGCCCAGAAGUUGGUAAGGAAAGGAUAUCUGGGGGAAGAGAUUUCAGGCAGAGGGAAUAACAAGUGCAAAAGCCCUGAGGUAGGACCAUGCCUGUUAUGCUCCAGGAAUAGCAGGGAGACCAGUGUGCCUGGAGGAGGGGUCUGAGGAGGAGAGUGGAGUGGCAUGAGGUCUGAGAAGGAGCAGGGAUGAGAUGAUACAGGGCUCUGUGGGCUGUGGCAGCCACUUUGGCUUUGAAUGAAAAUGUAGUGGACACCAGGGUGGAGGGAAGGGCUCUGAGCUCAGGAGGACCCAGAUCUGACUCAGGUGUUAGUGGAACCCCUGUGGCUGGGGUGGGGGUGGGGGAGACCAUAGAGAAGGCUGUUUCUGCAUUGGUCCAGUGGGAGACAAGGGUGGACCAGACCUGGGGGAGGCCAUAGAGGAAGUCAUGCAUAUAUAUAUACACACACACGCAGUAGAGGAACGUUACAUACACAUCUAGGGCCAAAGAAUGCAGGGGAGGGGAGGGGGGAGAGGUCAAGGGAGCCCCCGAUGCCCAAGCCCACACUCUCCAUCUUCACACUCACCCACCGGAGGAGCCUCCAGCACGGCCUGCAGCAUCCCUGAUUCUGGGCGCCUGGCUGGGCAGCCAUGGAGCCAGGCCGAGGCUCCAGAGAGGGCUGAGGUGCCACCCGACCCUGAUGUCCCCCCUUGUCCUCCCCAGAUUAUGACACUGUGCAGACUGUGGGCAUGACUCUGGCUACCAUAUUGUUCCUCCUGGGCAUUCUCAUCAUCCUCAGCAAGAAGGUGAAGUGCAGGAAGGCCGACUCCAGGUCUGAGAGCCCAACAUGCAAAUCCUGUAAGUCGGAGCUUCCAUCCUCAG